rnacentral:rRNA from 1 species
CCCAGACUCCUACGGGAGGCAGCAGUGGGGGAUAUUGCACAAUGGGCGAAAGCCUGAUGCAGCGACGCCGCGUGAGGGAAGACGGUUUUCGGAUUGUAAACCUCUGUCGAGGGGGACGAAGGAAGUGACGGUACCCCUUGAGGAAGCCACGGCUAACUACGUGCCAGCAGCCGCGGUAAUACGUAGGUGGCAAGCGUUGUCCGGAAUUACUGGGUGUAAAGGGAGCGUAGACGGCAAUACAAGUCGGAAGUGAAAUACCCGGGCUCAACCUGGGAACUGCUUUGGAAGCUGUAUGGCUGGAGUGCUGGAGAGGUAAGCGGAAUUCCUAGUGUAGCGGUGAAAUGCGUAGAUAUUAGGAGGAACACCAGUGGCGAAGGCGGCUUACUGGACAGUAACUGACGUUGAGGCUCGAAAGCGUGGGGAGCAAACAGGAUUAGAUACCCGUGUA